UGUUCCUAAACCACCUUAUUCCCCAAGCCCUAAACCGCCUUACGUGCCAAAACCACCUCAUACUCCAGUCCCUAGGCCACCAUAUUUCCCCAAACCACCUUACACACCAAGGCCUAAGCCACCAUAUGCGCCAAAACCACCUUAUACGCCAACCCCUAAGCCACCAUAUUUCCCCAAACCACCUUACACACCAAGGCCGAAGCCACCAUAUGUGCCAAAACCACCUUAUACGCCAGCCCCUAAGCCACCAUAUUUUCCCAAACCACCUUACACACCAAGGCCUAAGCCACCAUAUGCACCAAAACCACCUUAUACGCCAACACCUAAGCCACCAUAUUUCCCCAAACCACCUUACACACCAAGGCCUAAGCCACCGUACGUGCCAAAACCACCGUACACACCAAGGCCUAAGCCACCGUACGUGCCAAAACCACCAUACACACCAACCCCUAAGCCACCGUACGUGCCAAAACCACCUUACACCCCAACCCCUAAGCCACCGUACGUGCCAAAACCACCGUAUACCCCAACUCCUAAGCCACCGUACGUCCCAUCGCCACCUUAUACCCCUCGCCCUAAACCACCGUAUGUACCAUCACCACCUUAUACCCCUAGCCCUAAACCACCGUAUGUGCCAUCACCACCAUAUACCCCAAGCCCUACCCCACCAUAUGUACCAUCACCACCGUAUACCCCAAG
rnacentral:lncRNA from 1 species